UACGAAGGUGGCAAGCGUUUGUUCGGAUUUACUGGGCGUAAAGGGAGCGUAGGUGGUUAGGUAAGCCCUCCGGGAAAUCUUCAGGCUUAACCUGAAAAGGUCGGGGGGGACUGCCUAGCUAGAGGGCGGGAGAGGAGCGCGGAAUUCCCGGUGUGAGCGGUGAAAUGCGUAGAGAUCGGGAGGAAGGCCGGUGGCGAAGGCGGCGCUCUGGACAAGUACUGACACUCAACUACGAAAGCGUGGGGAGCAAAC
rnacentral:rRNA from 1 species